CGCGGGCCUCGGCCAGGCCUGAGAGGCCGGGAGGGUUUGACCCUGGGGCUGCAUGGACAGCUUAGCGCUCGGCCGCUGGCGACGGCGGAGGGCGGAGGAUCUGCAGGUUCCGGGGGACGUGAAACGGGUAUGCAGGAGAUUAGAAGCCAGUGGGCACGAGCGUGGCUGCCACCAGGUGAAUGCCUGUGCCCUGGCGUCCUGGGGCCCAGAGGACCGGGAGCUUCCAUCAAGAGGCUGCCCCCCAGCACCAAGGCCAGAAAGUGGCCAGGGGAGGCUAAGUACAGGGAUUUCUCAGAAUGGUGGAAGGAGCUCAGCCCAGCCUUGCCCAAGAUGUAUUGCAGGGGAAUCUGUAAGUGCAUUAACCUUCUUGCUGUGACAUAAAAGAUAGACUUCUUCUUAAAUAUUAGAUCCAUAAAACAAA
rnacentral:lncRNA from 1 species